GCCCCUGUAGCUCAAUUGGAUAGAGCGACGGACUUCUAAUCCGUAGGUUGGGGGUUCAAGUCCUCCCGGGGGCG
rnacentral:tRNA from 1 species